rnacentral:rRNA from 1 species
GGAAACCCAGUGUGACUCGUCACACUAUCAUUAACUGAAUCCAUAGGUUAAUGAGGCGAACCGGGGGAACUGAAACAUCUAAGUACCCCGAGGAAAAGAAAUCAACCGAGAUUCCCCCAGUAGCGGCGAGCGAACGGGGAGGAGCCCAGAGCCUGAAUCAGCAUGUGUGUUAGUGGAAGCGUCUGGAAAGGCGCGCGAUACAGGGUGACAGCCCCGUACACAAAAGCGCAUGUGCUGUGAGCUCGAUGAGUAGGGCGGGACACGUGGUAUCCU